CCUACGGGGGGCAGCAGUGGGGAAUAUUGCACAAUGGGGGAAACCCUGAUGCAGCAACGCCGCGUGAGUGAAGAAGUAUUUCGGUAUGUAAAGCCCUAUCGGCAGGGAAGAAGCAAGACGGUACCUGACUAAGAAGCCCCGGCUAACUACGUGCCAGCAGCCGCGGUAAUACGUAGGGGGCGAGCGUUAUCCGGAUUCACUGGGUGUAAAGGGAGCGUAGACGGCCAUGCAAGCCAGGGGUGAAAGCCCGGGGCCCAACCCCGGGACUGCCCUUGGAACUGCAUGGCUGGAGUGCGGGAGGGGCAGGCGGAAUUCCUGGUGUAGCGGUGAAAUGCGUAGAUAUUAGGAGGAACACCAGUGGCGAAGGCGGCUUACUGGACAGUAACUGACGUUGAGGCUCGAAAGCGUGGGGAGCAAACAGGAUUAGAUACCCGGGUAGUC
rnacentral:rRNA from 1 species